GGUGAAUUACGGUUGAACAGACAUAUAGCGCAAAUUCCAGUUUUUGUUUACAUUUUGUUUUGAUCAGAAUGUGCACUAUUGACUCCGUCCUGAAGGGGUUAAAUCCAAGUCUUUUUUAUUAGUAAAUAACAUGUGCAAGUGGACAGAGGUACAUAAACAAAGCAGCCUAGUUUAUCACGGACAGCUAAUCAGGUGUAAUAAUGAAUGUUUUUCCUCUCAAAAUAGCUUCUAAUAGACAUCAUUGGAAAAUUAUCUUCUCAAUUAGGUCAACUGAAUGACAUUUCUUCAGUCAUGUAUUUGAAUAUUUGGUCAUAUAUUUCAAAAAUUCAGUUCCAGAUUUCCUUUUAUUUUUGCAUCUGGAGAUGCUGAAAUACUGUCUAGAAUCUCACUUAAUAACCCUGAUGCAGUUUCUUUGUAGAGAUUGGAAAACGCUCCAGUAUAUCCUUAUGGGGACCUUAGACAUGUUCUGUAAAAAGAGCAACAGGAAAUUAAACUAACUGGAAUUGCACUGACAAUGAAUACACAGCUUUAAUAUCUCCCAAAAUCUUACAGAAUACACUACAUCCACUCAAAUAAAGAUCACACACCAAGACCAUAUGGGGAAAAAAGGUUUGAAAAGAAAGCAUUACCCUUUGUUUAAACCAACAUAAAAUGCUUACUUUAAAAAUAGCAAAUACAUUCUCCUGUCUCCAUUCAUGAGUUAAGGUUUCUGUUCAGCGCAGUAUAAAUGAUAAAUGGAAGCAACAGUUCUCUCCAACCUCCAACUGCCACCACUAUUUCCACUGCCUGAUUUAGACAGUCGCUGACUAUUCUUAUAAUUGCAUUUAUGUGGAUGACACAUAAAUGUGCUUUAAGGGAAACCCUAUAGGUGUGAAUGACAAUAAUUCACACUGAAAAUAGCCUGGGCUAAUUUCAGAAGCAUUUACAGCAGAAAUAUACCUUGGUGUUUCUUUAUGG